UUCUGGUGCCGAGGAUCUCGUCUCCGCUCUCAGUACAAACCCAUCACUGACGGAGCUGUACCUGAGUAAUAAUAAACUGGGAGAUUCAGGAGUGAAACUGGUGUCUGAGGCUCUGAGGAUCCCAGAGUGUAAAAUACAGAAACUGGGGCUGAACCGUGUCGGUCUCACAGAUUCUGGUGCCGAGGAUCUCGUCUCCGCUCUCAGUACAAACCCAUCACUGACGGAGCUGUACCUGAGUAAUAAUAAACUGGGAGAUUCAGGAGUGAAACUGGUGUCUGAGGCUCUGAGGAUCCCAGAGUGUAAAAUACAGAAACUGGGGCUGAACAAUGUCGGUCUCACAGAUUCUGGGGCCGAGGAUCUCGCCUCCGCUCUCAGUACAAACCCAUCACUGACUUGGCUGGGCCUGGGUGAAAACUCGCUGAUAGACCUAUCUGUCCCCGGUCUCCGCCGCCUCAUACUGACCCUCCCGAGUCUGGAGUGGAUCUGGCUGUGGGGGAAUCGGUUCAGUGAGACCGGGAGGAAGGAACUGGAGUCUCUGGAGGAAAUCAGACCCGGACUGAGAGUGAUCCUGUGAACAUCUGAAUGUGUGAACAUUCCCGCCCGAGGGGAAUCGGAUCAGUGAGACCGGGAGGAAGGAAUUGAGAUCUCUGGAGGAACCCAGACCCGGACUGAGUGUGAACAUCCCCGCCCGCGGUAUGGGGACAUUUGGCCGACUCCCCGCCCUCCCCCUUAACUCCCGCCCUUACCUUUAAC